rnacentral:rRNA from 1 species
CCUACGGGAGGCAGCAGUGGGGAAUUUUCCGCAAUGGGCGAAAGCCUGACGGAGCAAUCUCGCGUGAGGGAUGACUGCCUAUGGGUUGUAAACCUCUUUUUUCAGGGAGGAAUAAAUGACGUGUACCUGGAGAAUAAGCAUCGGCUAACUCCGUGCCAGCAGCCGCGGUAAUACGGAGGAUGCAAGUGUUAUCCGGAAUCACUGGGCGUAAAGCGUCUGUAGGUGGUUUAAUAAGUCAACUGUUAAAUCUUGAGGCUCAACUUCAAAAUCGCAGUCGAAACUAUUAGACUAGAGUAUAGUAGGGGUAAAGGGAAUUUCCAGUGGAGCGGUGAAAUGCGUAGAGAUUGGAAAGAACACCGAUGGCGAAGGCACUUUACUGGGCUAUUACUGACACUCAGAGACGAAAGCUAGGGUAGCAAAUGGGAUUAGAUACCCCAGUAGUCCUAGCUGUAAACAAUGGAUACUAGAUGUUGAACAGAUCGACCUGUGCAGUAUCAAAGCUAACGCGUUAAGUAUCCCGCCUGGGAAGUAUGCUCGCAAGAGUGAAACUCAAAUGAAUUGACGG